rnacentral:rRNA from 1 species
UACGUAGGGGGCAAGCGUUGUCCGGAAUUAUUGGGCGUAAAGAGCGUGUAGGCGGCCCGGUAAGUCCGCUGUGAAAGUCGGGGGCUCAACCCUCGGAUGCCGGUGGAUACUGUCGGGCUCGAGUGCGGAAGAGGCGAGUGGAAUUCCUGGUGUAGCGGUGAAAUGCGCAGAUAUCAGGAGGAACACCAAUUGCGAAGGCAGCUCGCUGGGACGUUACUGACGCUGAGACGCGAAAGCGUGGGGAGCAAACAGG